UGUCUAUAAUAGGACUAUGGACAGGAUUGACCAUUUGUGUGUCACUGCAAGCAACUUUUUUUAUAAUAUUUUUGUACAAACUUGAUUGGAAGAAGGCUACUGAAGAGGCUCUUGUAAGAGCAGGAGUCCAGAUCAAAGAAGAAAAAGAGAUGGUCCAGAUGGAAAAUCUAGACUCAAUACAGAACUUGGACCAGGUCAGUACUACUUCAUCCAAUUUAGAGGAAGCUGGGGAGGACCACACAUACCAGGACGUGCAUAUUCCAGACCAGAAUAAUUCUACUACCACUGUAGUGGGAGAAGUUCUUUCAAUAACACAGUUGGUUUUACGGCGUGGCCUCACAUUGCUGCUCAUGAUUGUAAUCCUUGCUGCUGGAAUCCUCACCAAUUACCUACUUGUCAGAUUGUUCACAUAGUGAACCAGGCAGUGUUUUAAUUAUUUUAUACUAAAAAGGAAUAAUACAGAAUCUUUUUCUCUCCCUGGGAGAAAGAGGUGGGGGGGUGGUUGGAUAUCAACCCUCAGACAGCUGAAGUACCCUCACCUUGUGCCUAAUUGACCCUUUGCAAAGCCUUGCC